rnacentral:rRNA from 1 species
AUUGAACGCUGGCGGCAGGCCUAACACAUGCAAGUCGAGCGAGCGGCGGACGGGUGAGUAAUGUCUGGGAAACUGCCUGAUGGAGGGGGAUAACUACUGGAAACGGUAGCUAAUACCGCAUACCAUCAGAUGUGCCCAGAUGGGAUUAGCUAGUAGGUGGGGUAACGGCUCACCUAGGCGACGAUCCCUAGCUGGUCUGAGAGGUUGACCAGCCACACUGGAACUGAGACACGGUCCAGACUCCUACGGGAGGCAACAGUGGGGAAUAUUGCGCAAUGGGCGCAAGCCUGAUGUAGCCAUGCCGCGUGUGUGAAGAAUGCCUUCGGGUUGUAAAGCGCUUUUAGCGGGGAGGCGUUACCCGCAGAAGAAGCACCGGCUAACUACGUGCCAGCAGCCGCGGUAAUUC